rnacentral:rRNA from 2 species
CGAGACCGUACCCCAAACCGACACAGGUGGUCAGGUAGAGAAUACCAAGGCGCUUGAGAGAACUCGGGUAAAGGAACUAGGCAAAAUGGUGCCGUAACUUCGGGAGAAGGCACGCCGGUGUGUACGUGAAACCCCCGCGGGUGGAGCGGAAGCCGGUCGAAGAUACCAGGCCCCUGCGACUGUUUAUUAAAAACACAGCACUGUGCAAACACGAAAGUGGACGUAUACGGUGUGACGCCUGCCCGGUGCCGGAAGGUUAAUUGAUGGGGUUAGCACUCGUGCGAAGCUCUUGAUCGAAGCCCCGGUAAACGGCGGCCGUAACUAUAACGGUCCUAAGGUAGCGAAAUUCCUUGUCGGGUAAGUUCCGACCUGCACGAAUGGCGUAACGAUGGGGGCGCUGUCUCUACCCGAGACUCAGUGAAAUUGAAAUCGCCGUGAAGAUGCGGUGUAUCCGCGGCUAGACGGAAAGACCCCGUGAACCUUUACUAUAGCUUCACAGUGAACUUUGAGCAUGCUUGUGUAGGAUAGCUGGGAGGCUUUGAAACUCGGACGCCAGUUCGAGUGGAGCCAACCUUGAAAUACCAGCCUGGCAUGUUUGAGGUUCUAACUCUGGCCCCUUAUCGGGGUUGAGGACACUGUGUGGUGGGUAGUUUGACUGGGGCGGUCUCCUCCCAAAGCGUAACGGAGGAGCACAAAGGUGGGCUAAGCACGGUCGGACAUCGUGCGGUUAGUGUAAUGGCACAAGCCCGCUUGACUGCGAGACAGACACGUCGAGCAGGUACGAAAGUAGGUCAUAGUGAUCCGGUGGUUCUGUAUGGAAGGGCCAUCGCUCAACGGAUAAAAGGUACUCCGGGGAUAACAGGCUGAUACCGCCCAAGAGUUCACAUCGACGGCGGUGUUUGGCACCUCGAUGUCGGCUCAUCACAUCCUGGGGCUGAAGCCGGUCCCAAGGGUAUGGCUGUUCGCCAUUUAAAGUGGUACGCGAGCUGGGUUUAGAACGUCGUGAGACAGUUCGGUCCCUAUCUGCCGUGGACGUUGGAGAUUUGAGGAAAGCUGCUCCUAGUACGAGAGGACCGGAGUGGACGAACCUCUGGUGUUCGGGUUGUCACGCCAGUGGCAUUGCCCGGUAGCUAUGUUCGGACAGGAUAACCGCUGAAAGCAUCUAAGCGGGAAGCCCCUUCCAAGAUGAGAUCUCCCUGAGGCCUUGAGCCUCCUGAAGAGCCGUUCAAGACCAGGACGUUGAUAGGUCGGGUGUGUAAGCGCUGCGAGGCGUUGAGCUAACCGAUACUAAUUGCUCGUGCGGCUUGACUAUAUAACACCCAAG